CCCUUAGAUGUUCUGGGCCGCACGCGUGCUACACUGAGUAAUUCAAUGGGUAAGGGAACGCUAGAGCAUUACCUAAUCUUGAAAUUUGCUCGUGAUGGGGAUCGACGGUUGCAAUUUUCCGUCGUGAACGAGGAAUACCUUGUAGGCGCAUGUCAUCAUCAUGCGCCGAAUACGUCCCUGCCCUUUGUACACACCGCCCGUCGCUCCUACCGAUUGAGUGAUCCGGUGAGGCUCUGGGACCUGGACGGAAAGAGCGUUUCGCUUGUUCUGUUUGGCAAACUUGGUCGAACCUUAUCAUUUAGAGGAAGGAGAAGUCGUAACA
rnacentral:rRNA from 1 species